rnacentral:lncRNA from 1 species
UGUAGGGAGGAAUAGAGAUCGGUCUGGCACCGGGCAUCAACUCUAUCUCGAACUCUAUGUCCCUAUCAGGUGGUAGUCCUGGAAGCUCUUCAGGAAACACAUCUGGGAAUUCUCUAACAACUGGUACUGAGGAUGGUUCCCUAACCCGACUGUCUAGCUCUCUCACAUAAGCUAGGAACCCCUGACACCCCUUCGUCAACAUCCUACGAGCCUGGAGGGCUGAUAUCAAACCCCUAGGUGUCCCUCUCUUGUCUCCUCUGAAGACACACUCUGACCCAUCCUGGUCUCUGAGACUCACUACCUUGUCCUUGCAGUGCAAGGUAGCACUAUAGGUAGAUAACCAAUCCAUCCCUAGAAUGACAUCAAUAACUGUCAACUCUAGAACCACAAGGUCAGCUGGAAGGCAUCUAUCCUCUAUAAACACUGGACUGAAUUGACAGACUGACUCUGCCAAUGAUGGGUCACAUCUAGGUCCACUGACCCAGAGAGGACACUCUAACUCGG